rnacentral:lncRNA from 1 species
AUAAAUGAAUGAUUCAUAUUAUAUAUAAAUGGGUAACAACUGAAAUUACAUAAUCAAGAUCAAUAUUAUUGGUAUUUGGCAUAUUCACAAUGUAAUAUGGUAUAUUAUAUGUAAAUAAAUUCAAUAAUUUUCUUCUCCAUCACCAAAUUUUAGGUUUCUUCAUCACUAAGUAACAAAGUUAAACGACUAUAAAUUAAUGAUUCAUAUUAUAUAUAAAUG